AGGAAGGCAGACCCAGGGAACUGAAACAUCUAAGUACCUGGAGGAAGAGAAAGAAAAAUCGAUUUCCUGAGUAGCGGCGAGCGAAACGGAAAGAGCCCAAACCAAGAAGCUUGCUUCUUGGGGUUGUAGGACACUCUAUACGGAGUUACAAAAGAAAGUUAUAAAUGAAGCGGUCUGGAAAGGCCCGCCAAAGACGGUAACAGCCCGGUAGUUGAAAUGGCUUUCCCUCCAGAGUGGAUCCUGAGUACGGCGGAACACGUGAAAUUCCGUCGGAAUCCGGGAGGACCAUCUCCCAAGGCUAAAUACUCCCUAGUGACCGAUAGUGAACCAGUACCGUGAGGGAAAGGUGAAAAGCACCCCGGAAGGGGAGUGAAACAGUUCCUGAAACCGUGUGCCUACAAGUAGUUAGAGCCCGUUAAUGGGUGAUAGCGUGCCUUUUGUAGAAUGAACCGGCGAGUUACGAUUUGUUGCAAGGUUAAGCGGAAAAAGCGGAGCCGUAGCGAAAGCGAGUCUGAAUAGGGCGCAUAAGUAACAGGUCGUAGACCCGAAACCAGGUGAUCUACCCAUGUCCAGGAUGAAGGUAAGGUAAUACUUACUGGAGGUCCGAACCCACGCACGUUGAAAAGUGCGGGGAUGAGGUGUGGGUAGCGGAGAAAUUCCAAUCGAACUUGGAGAUAGCUGGUUCUCUCCGAAAUAGCUUUAGGGCUAGCCUCGAGGUAAAGAGUCAUGGAGGUAGAGCACUGUUUGGACUAGGGGCCCUUCUCGGGUUACCGAAUUCAGAUAAACUCCGAAUGCCAUGUACUUAUACUCGGGAGUCAGACUGCGAGUGAUAAGAUCCGUAGUCGAAAGGGAAACAGCCCAGACCACCAGUUAAGGUCCCCAAAUAUAUGUUAAGUGGAAAAGGAUGUGGGGUUGCUUAGACAACCAGGAUGUUGGCUUAGAAGCAGCCACCAUUGAAAGAGUGCGUAAUAGCUCACUGGUCGAGUGACCCCGCGCCGAAAAUGUACCGGGGCUAAACAUAUUA
rnacentral:rRNA from 1 species